rnacentral:rRNA from 1 species
GUGGGGAAUCUUAGACAAUGGGGGAAACCCUGAUCUAGCCAUGCCGCGUGAGCGAUGAAGGCCUUAGGGUUGUAAAGCUCUUUCAGCUGGGAAGAUAAUGACGGUACCAGCAGAAGAAGCCCCGGCUAACUCCGUGCCAGCAGCCGCGGUAAUACGGAGGGGGCUAGCGUUGUUCGGAAUUACUGGGCGUAAAGCGCGCGUAGGCGUACCAGAAAGUCGGAGGUGAAAUCCCUGGGCUCAACCUUGGAACUGCCUUCAAAACUCCUGGACGGGAGUUCGAGAGAGGUGAGUGGAAUUCCGGGUGUAGGGGUGAAAUUCGUAGAUAUUCGGAGGAACACCAGUGGCGAAGGCGGCUCACUGGCUCGAUACUGACGCUGAGGUGCGAAAGCGUGGGGAGCAAACAGGAUUAGAUACCCUAGUAGUCC